rnacentral:tmRNA from 4 species
GGGGCUGCACUGGUUUCGACAUGGGUUCGGACGCGUGGCAGGGCAUGUCGAGGUUCUGAUCCUCGUAAAUCUUCGGAAAAAAAACUAACUGCAAACGACGAACGUUUCGCACUCGCCGCUUAAUCCGGUGAGCCUUGCAACAGUUGGCCGAUAGGCUGGGUUAGGGGGUCGCAAGACUUCCUAGCUGCAAGGGAAAACAUAUGGGCUGGCAUCACCUCGGGUACCUUGAGGUGGUGUGAGAAAAAAGGGUACUGGCUGGGUGCGUAGCGUGUCGCUGCGCGACGCACACGGCGAGACUCAAAUCAGACGACUACACAUGUAGAACUGUACGAAAAAGGCUUGUGGACGCGGGUUCAAAUCCCGCCAGCUCCACCA